GUGUUUUUGCCAGAAACACAUAUACUAAAAUUGGAAUGAUACGGAGAAAGAUAAGCAUGGCCCCUCUACAAGGCAUGCGCAUUUAUGAAACAGUCUUUGUAUUU